AUUGAACGCUGGCGGCAGGCCUAACACAUGCAAGUCGAACGGUAGCACAGAGAGCUUGCUCUCGGGUGACGAGUGGCGGACGGGUGAGUAAUGUCUGGGAAACUGCCCGAUGGAGGGGGAUAACUACUGGAAACGGUAGCUAAUACCGCAUAACGUCGCAAGACCAAAGUGGGGGACCUUCGGGCCUCACACCAUCGGAUGUGCCCAGAUGGGACUAGCUAGUAGGUGGGGUAAUGGCUCACCUAGGCGACGAUCCCUAGCUGGUCUGAGAGGAUGACCAGCCACACUGGAACUGAGACACGGUCCAGACUCCUAAGGGAGGCAGCAGUGGGGAAUAUUGCACAAUGGGCGCAAGCCUGAUGCAGCCAUGCCGCGUGUAUGAAGAAGGCCUUCGGGUUGUAAAGUACUUUCAGCGGGGAGGAAGGCGGUGAAGUUAAUAACUUCACCGAUUGACGUUACCCGCAGAGGAAGCACCGGCUAACUCCGUGCCAGCCGCCGCCGUAA
rnacentral:rRNA from 1 species